GGUGAUAAUAGCAAAAGGGAAACACCCGUUCCCAUCCCGAACACGGAAGUUAAGCCUUUUAGCCCUGAUGAUACUAUGUGGGCGACUGCAUGGGAAAAUAAGACAUUGCCA
rnacentral:rRNA from 1 species